rnacentral:rRNA from 1 species
UAUGAGAGUUUGAUCCUGGCUCAGGACGAACGCUGGCGGCGUGCCUAAUACAUGCAAGUCGAACGCUUUUUCUUUCACCGGAGCUUGCUCCACCGAAAGAAAAGGAGUGGCGAACGGGUGAGUAACACGUGGGUAACCUGCCCAUCAGAAGGGGAUAACACUUGGAAACAGGUGCUAAUACCGUAUAACAAUCGAAACCGCAUGGUUUCGGUUUGAAAGGCGCUUUUGCGUCACUGAUGGAUGGACCCGCGGUGCAUUAGCUAGUUGGUGAGGUAACGGCUCACCAAGGCAACGAUGCAUAGCCGACCUGAGAGGGUGAUCGGCCACAUUGGGACUGAGACACGGCCCAAACUCCUACGGGAGGCAGCAGUAGGGAAUCUUCGGCAAUGGACGCAAGUCUGACCGAGCAACGCCGCGUGAGUGAAGAAGGUUUUCGGAUCGUAAAACUCUGUUGUUAGAGAAGAACAAGGAUGAGAGUA